rnacentral:rRNA from 1 species
AUGCCAUGAAAGAGAUACCGAGGAUUAAAADDDUUAAAGAAAGAGGUUAUGAAAAUACAUUAUCUUACAAAACAAAAUACAUAAUCACAUUAAUAUACUUADDUCUACAA